rnacentral:tRNA from 1 species
AGGGAUUUAGCUCAGUGGUAGAGCACUUGCCUAGCAAGCGCAAGGCCCUGGGUUCAGUCCCCAGCCCCUG